rnacentral:rRNA from 1 species
UACGUAGGGUGCAAGCGUUGUCCGGAAUUAUUGGGCGUAAAGAGCUCGUAGGCGGUUUGUCGCGUCUGCUGUGAAAUCUGGAGGCUCAACCUCCAGCCUGCAGUGGGUACGGGCAGACUAGAGUGCGGUAGGGGAGAUUGGAACUCCUGGUGUAGCGGUGGAAUGCGCAGAUAUCAGGAAGAACACCGAUGGCGAAGGCAGAUCUCUGGGCCGUAACUGACG